UUGCCCGUUGUAUGGUGGUGGUAGUGGAAACACCCACACGGUGACUGAUGGCACCGAGGACACCUAAACAACGGGCUUUU
rnacentral:ncRNA from 12 species